CCUACGGGAGGCAGCAGUGGGGAAUAUUGCACAAUGGGCGAAAGCCUGAUGCAGCAACGCCGCGUGAAGGAAGAAGGGUUUCGGCUCGUAAACUUCUAUCAACAGGGACGAAAGAGAUGACGGUACAUGAAUAAGAAGCCCCGGCUAACUACGUGCCAGCAGCCGCGGUAAUACGGAGGGGGCAAGCGUUAUCCGGAAUUACUGGGUGUAAAGGGUGAGUAGGCGGCAUGGUAAGCCAGAUGUGAAAGCCUUGGGCUUAACCCGAGGAUUGCAUUUGGAACUAUCAAGCUAGAGUACAGGAGAGGAAAGCGGAAUUCCUAGUGUAGCGGUGAAAUGCGUAGAUAUUAGGAAGAACACCAGUGGCGAAGGCGGCUUUCUGGACUGAAACUGACGCUGAGGCACGAAAGCGUGGGGAGCGAACAGGAUUAGAUACCCUUGUAGUC
rnacentral:rRNA from 1 species